rnacentral:rRNA from 1 species
UACGUAGGCAGCGAGCGUUGUUCGGAGUUACUGGGCGUAAAGAGUGCGUAGGCGGUUUUCUAAGUUUGGUGUGGAAUCUCCCGGCUCAACUGGGAGGGUGCGCCGAAGACUGGAAGGCUUGAGUAUGGGAGAGGUAAGCGGAAUUCCUGGUGUAGCGGUGAAAUGCGUAGAUAUCAGGAGGAACACCUGCGGUGUAGACGGCUUACUGGACCAUAACUGACGCUGAGGCACGAAAGCGUGGGUAGCAAACAGG